rnacentral:misc_RNA from 1 species
UACGGAAGGUGCAAGCGUUGUUCGGAAUGACUGGGCGUAAAGCGCACGUAGGCGGCUUCGUAAGUCGGAUGUGAAAGCCCCGGGCUCAACCUGGGAACUGCACCCGAAACUGCGAAGCUUGAAUGCUUGAGAGGUUGGUGGAAUUCCAGGUGUAGGAGUGAAAUCCGUAGAUAUCUGGAGGAACACCGGAGGCGAAGGCGGCCAACUGGCGAUACAUUGACGCUGAGGUGUGAAAGCGUGGGGAGCAAACAGG